CCUAGAGUUGUAGGCUUUGCCUGCUAUCUCUUACCCAUGUCUUUUGAGUACCUUACGUUUCCUCGGCGGGUCCGCCCGCCGAUUGGACAAUUUAAAACCAUUUGCAGUUGCAAUCAGCGUCUGAAAAAACUUUAAUAGUUA
rnacentral:misc_RNA from 1 species